CAGUAGCCGCGGGAAUACGUAGGUGGCAAGCGUUGUCCGGAGUUAUUGGGCGUAAAGGGCUCGCAGGCGGUUUCUUAAGUCUGAUGUGAAAGCCCCCGGCUCAACCGGGGAGGGUCAUUGGAAACUGGGAAACUUGAGUGCAGAAGAGGAGAGUGGAAUUCCACGUGUAGCGGUGAAAUGCGUAGAGAUGUGGAGGAACACCAGUGGCGAAGGCGACUCUCUGGUCUGUAACUGACGCUGAGGAGCGAAAGCGUGGGGAGCGAACAGGAUUAGAUACCCCGGUAGUCCCUGUCUCUUAUAA
rnacentral:rRNA from 1 species